UUGUAAAACAACUUGUAUUGAAAUAAAGAGCAAUAUUUGAAUUAGUAUUCAUUUUUACAUACUUAAUUAAUAAAUGUGAAUGUGGAAAACUUAAAAAUAUUCCCUACUUAAAAUAUCAUUAUUGUCAUUGGGUAUUCAUCGUUUUCUCAAUACCAAUAAGUCGACUCCCUCGAUUUAUUGGCAUUGAGCAAACGACAAGUGUACAUACCAUUCUCCUGUUAUAUCCUUUCUAUAUAUCGGUCUAAUUACACUAAUUGUCGAAAAAUGAUCUGUUUUUUUAUUGUUCAUUCUAGCUUCUGUAUUUUUUUUAUAAUAAUUAUUAUAUAUAUAUAUUUGAGGACAAAAGUCUCCAUAUUGGCAGUUCAGACUGUUCUCAAUAAUUUUAUCCAGUAAAAUCCUCGCCAUGUCUAGAUAUUUUAUCACCUGAGGAAACAUCAGAAAAUAGCGCCCUCUCUCUUCUUCAUUCACGUUCUUUCAUAUUUAAAAUAAAAUUGAUACAUAAUUAACAAAUCACAUGACCAAAUUAGUAACACUUACAGUUAAGUGGAUCCGACAUGACUCACAGCUGGCGACCAUUUAGAUGUCAAAUGCCUUACCAAAUUUUUAUAUACAAUAUUUUUGAUGUACUGUAUAAUAAUUAUAUCGAAAAUAUUUUGUUAUUAAAUACGAAAAUUCCAAUAUUUACUUUAUAAAAUAAACUAAUACUAUAUUUUUAUCUAUACAUAAUACCUAAUAUUAUUUUUGUGAAGUUCCCGUGACCGAUGGACGAAUGUUACAGGCUUAUGUUAUAGGCCGUAGGUCUCGGAUGUCCUUCAUAAAAGCAUUUUAUUUAAAGCUUUCGCUGAGAGAUAAAUGCAAUAGCCUGAUGAAUACUAUAAUACUUUAGUUUUAAAAAAGUAUAAUGAAGUCGAAGCUCAAAUUACAAAUCCUCUUAAGAAUCAACAGUGAAACGAUGCCAAGUAUAUGUCAAGAAGUUAACCAAUUACCAUUUUUAUUACUACUAAACGUAAAACACCUGAAAAUAACUACUAUGCCCGAAAUGGCGUACUCGCAUACGCCCGAAUGUCAUUUGUACAAAUGUAAAUUCCUGAAUAUAGACAUGGAUAAAGUUUUUGUCGAGUGUCAAAUUAAAAAUUAUUUGGAGAGCCGCUAGGAAAAAAUUUAACAAAACAAUAUCAAUAAAAUCGUUGGAAAUGUUUAAAAUAUGAUAGUUUUAUUUUAUAAGUUUUUCAAUAUCUGGAUUAAAUUACCUGUGGUGUUAUGAUAAUGC
rnacentral:lncRNA from 1 species